AUUGAACGCUGGCGGCAGGCCUAACACAUGCAAGUCGAGCGAGCGGCGGACGGGUGAGUACUGUCUGGGAAAAUGCCUGAUGGAGGGGGAUAACUACUGGAAACGGUAGCUAAUACCGCAUACCAUAAGAUGUGCCCAGAUGGGAUUAGCUAGUCGGUGGGGUAACGGCUCACCUAGGCGACGAUCCCUAGCUGGUCUGAGCGGAUGACCAGCCACACGGGAACUGAGACACGGUCCAGACUCCUACGGGAGGCAGCAGUGGGGAAGAUUGGACAAUGGGCGAAAGCCUGAUGCAGCCAUGCCGCGUGUGUGAAGAAGGCCUUCGGGUUGUAAAGCACUUUCAGCGGGGAGGCGUUACCCGCAGAAGAAGCACCGGCUAACUCCGUGCCAGCCGCCGCGGUAAUUC
rnacentral:rRNA from 1 species